AGAGUUUGAUUAUGGCUCAGGAUGAACGCUAGCUACAGGCUUAACACAUGCAAGUCGAGGGGCAGCAUUGGAGUAGCAAUACUCAGAUGGCGACCGGCGCACGGGUGAGUAACACGUAUCCAACCUGCCGCUUACUCGGGGAUAGCCUUUCGAAAGAAAGAUUAAUACCCGAUGGUAUAAAGAGUUCGCAUGUUCUCUUUAUUAAAGAAUUUCGGUAAGCGAUGGGGAUGCGUUCCAUUAGAUAGUUGGCGGGGUAACGGCCCACCAAGUCUACAAUGGAUAGGGGUUCUGAGAGGAAGGUCCCCCACAUUGGAACUGAGACACGGUCCAAACUCCUACGGGAGGCAGCAGUGAGGAAUAUUGGUCAAUGGACGAGAGUCUGAACCAGCCAAAAGUAGCGUGAAGGAUGACUGCCCUAUGGGUUGUAAACUUCUUUUAUAAGGGAAUAAAGUGAGGGACGUGUCCCUUUUUGUAUGUACCUUAUGAAUAAGGAUCGGCUAACUCCGUGCCAGCCGCCGC
rnacentral:rRNA from 1 species